GCGUAUAUGCGUAAAGUAAAAUGUCACGUAUCACUCGUAAACUGGAAUUACAGCUAAGAAGAUUCUGUUCAAGAUUACGCUGUGGUUUAAUUAAAUAUACAACAAAUUGAAAUAAGGUUGCGAUCUGUAUUCCAUCCAUCUUUCGUAAAUUACAUAAAUAAAAUUUAUAUAUAAAGCAAAAUAAAAUUUAUACAACUUGAAUGUUUUCAACGAUAAGCUACUCGAUACCUAAAUAAUACCAAAUCUCCUGUUUCUUCGAGAAAAGUAUUCUUGCCCCCUCUAUCGAUUAAGAGAGAACGUAAGUACGUUGCGAGUCGCGACGUUGCGAAGGAACGAAAGAAGGAAAAAUAAGAAAUAUCGUCGUUUAAAAACGGGUAAGUCGAAGAAUCGACGAUAACAAAGUUACUGAUUUCUGUGCGACAAGGGUGGUUGCCCUGGUCGAGCUUCCACCUCUUCCACGUUCCGUGAUAGAAAAUCAAACCAUGCAUUACGUCGUCGGCAUUGUACAGGUUGCUGGCCACUCUAAAAACUAUCUAUACGCGGUAAUAUCGAUCCUUAAAGGGAGUCGCUUCUUUCCUCGUUAUCGAUUUUCUGUCGUCCACCAAAUUGACCAGUUUCUCAAGCAUCGAACGUGCCA